rnacentral:rRNA from 1 species
GACGAACGCUGGCGGCGUGCUUAACACAUGCAAGUCGAACGGAAAGGCCCCUUCGGGGGUACUCGAGUGGCGAACGGGUGAGUAACACGUGAGUAACCUGCCCUUGACUUCGGGAUAACUUCAGGAAACUGGGGCUAAUACCGGAUAGGAAUCCUUGCUUCAUGGUGGGGGUUGGAAAGCUUCGGCGGUUUUGGAUGGACUCGCGGCUUAUCAGCUUGUUGGUGGGGUAGUGGCUUACCAAGGCUUUGACGGGUAGCCGGCCUGGGAGGGCGACCGGCCACACUGGGACUGAGAUACGGCCCAGACUCCUACGGGAGGCAGCAGUGGGGAAUAUUGCACAAUGGGCGGGAGCCUGAUGCAGCAACGCCGCGGGCGGGAUGACGGCCUUCGGGUUGUAAACCGCUUUCAGCAGGGGCGAAGCUUGUGGUGACGGUACCUGCAGAAGAAGCACCGGCUAACUACGUG